rnacentral:ncRNA from 2 species
CUUCACCACUAGGGGUGCCGUUUUUACGUGCUGAGAGAGGUUUCGACACCUUAACCCUUAUUACCUGAUCUAGUUCGGACUAGCGUAGGGAAGUGGCAUGCGAUGAUU